rnacentral:rRNA from 1 species
UUUCUGGUUGAUCCCGCCGGAGGCGACCGCUAUUGGAGUUCGAUUAAGCCAUGCGAGUCUAGAGGCUUAGGCCUCGGCGUACCGCUCAGUAACACGUGGAUAACCUGCCCUGUUCAGGGGGAUAACCUCGCGAAAGUGAGAAUAAUACCCCAUAGUUCACCAUGCCUGGAACGGUUGGUGGAUGAAAGCUCAGGCGGAACAGGAUGGGUCUGCGGCGUAUCAGGUAGUAGGGGGUGUAAUGGACCUCCUAGCCAUCGACGCGUACGGGUUGUGGGAGCAAUCGCCCGGAGAUGGAUUCUGAGACACGAAUCCAGACCCUACGGGGUGCAGCAGGCGCGAAAACUUGACAAUGCGAGAAAUCGUGAUCAGGGAACUCCAAUUGUCUCCGUUUUUACGGAGUUCUGAAUUGACUCUAAACAGGUCGAGUAAUAGGGGCGGGAAAUAUCGGUGCCAGCCGCCGCGGUAAUACCGAAGCCCCAAGUGGUCGUCGUUCUUAUUGGGCCUAAAACGUCCGUAGCCGGUUUGGUACAUUCGUGGGUAAAUCAGACAGCUUAACUGUCUGAAUUCUGCGAGCACGGCCAAACUUGAGGCCGGGAGAGGUGUAGGGUACCUGCGGGGUAGGGGUAAAAUCCUGUCAUCCCGUAGGGACCACCAGUUGCGAAGGCUCUACACUAGAACGGAUCUGACGGUCAGGGACGAAGCCUAGGGGCACGAACCGGAUUAGAUACCCGGGUAGUCCUAGGUGUAAACGCUGUGGACUUUGUGUCGGGGAUUCUUCGAGGAUUCUCGGUGCCGGAGUGAAGAUGUUAAGUCCACUGCCUGGGGAGUACGGUCGCAAGGCUGAAACUUAAAGGAAUUGGCGGGGGAGCACUGCAACGAGAGGAGCGUGCGGUUUAA